rnacentral:tRNA from 1 species
AAUGAUGUGCCCGAAAAAAGGAUUAUUAUGAUAUAAUAAAACAUACAAACCAGUUUGUCAUCAUUA